AGAGUUUGAUCAUGGCUCAGGACGAACGCUGGCGGCGUGCUUAACACAUGCAAGUCGAGCGGUAAGGCCCUUUCGGGGGUACACGAGCGGCGAACGGGUGAGUAACACGUGGGUGACCUGCCCUUAGCUCUGGGAUAAGCCCGGGAAACUGGGUCUAAUACCGGAUAUGACUCCACGGUGCAUGUCGUGGGGUGGAAAGCCUUGUGCGGCUGAGGAUGGGCCCGCGGCCUAUCAGCUUGUUGGUGGGGUGAUGGCCUACCAAGGCGACGACGGGUAGCCGGCCUGAGAGGGCGACCGGCCACACUGGGACUGAGACACGGCCCAGACUCCUACGGGAGGCAGCAGUGGGGAAUCUUGCGCAAUGGGCGAAAGCCUGACGCAGCGACGCCGCGUGAGGGAUGACGGCCUUCGGGUUGUAAACCUCUUUCAGCUCCGACGAAGCGGAAGUGACGGUAGGAGCAGAAGAAGCACCGGCCAACUACGUGCCAGCAGCCGCGGUAAUACGUAGGGUGCAAGCGUUGUCCGGAAUUAUUGGGCGUAAAGAGCUCGUAGGCGGUCUGUCGCGUCGGCUGUGAAAACUCGGGGCUCAACUCCGAGCUUGCAGUCGAUACGGGCAGGCUAGAGUUCGGCAGGGGAGACUGGAAUUCCUGGUGUAGCGGUGAAAUGCGCAGAUAUCAGGAGGAACACCGGUGGCGAAGGCGGCCCUCUGGGCCUGUCCUGACGCUGAGGAGCGAAAGCUGGGGGAGCGAACAGGAUUAGAUACCCCAGUAGUCC
rnacentral:rRNA from 1 species